GGUGGCUCAGUUGUAGAGCGCUUGCCUUGUAUGCAUGAGGUCCUUGGUUCAAUUCCUCAGCACCA
rnacentral:tRNA from 1 species